rnacentral:lncRNA from 1 species
CUCCAUCCUGCAGCGCUGUCCAAGAGGACACUACUGUCCCCCAGGGACACACCUGUCCACCCAGUUCCCCUGCCCAGCGGGCACCUACAACCCCACAGAGGGCAUGGACAGCUCAGAGGCCUGCCUUCCCUGCCCUUCCGGACAGUACUGCCCCUCCAUGGGCCUCUCUGAACCUGAUGGUGGCUGCCAGGCUGGGUUCUGGUGCAGAAGAGGUUCUAGGUCCAGCACCCCAUUAAACGGAACCUCGGGUUCCACAUGCCCCGCUGGACACUACUGCCCUGCAGGUGUGUCCUUACCUGUGCCCUGUCCACCUGGCACCUGGGCGGGCAGGACCGGCCUGGGGGACGCGGGGGAGUGCCAGCCCUGUCCGGGGGGAUCGUACUGUGCCACCCCUGGACUCACAACACCCACAGGCCUCUGCACAGGAGGGUUUUACUGUGUGGAGGGGGCAGUGACACCCAACCCCUAUGAUGGCACCACGGGUGCCCCCUGCCCAGAGGCUCAUUACUGUCCUGUAGGAACCUCUCAGCCUGUGCCGUGUGAGCCAGGGACCUAUAUGAGUGCGACACAGGCCCCAGAGUGCUCUGUGUGCCCUGCAGGCUGGUACUGCACUUCUGGCGUUCGGCUGCUCUGUCCAGCAGGGUUCUACUGCCCUGAGGGCACAGGGGACACAUGGCGCUCCUGCCCCGUGGGCACGUACGGCCCUGCUGGUGGCCUGGGCAGGGUGUCGGAGUGUCGCGAGUGUGAUGGAGGACACUACUGCAGCAUGCCCAACACCACCUCUGUCACAGGGCCGUGCUCUGAGGGGUACUUCUGCCUGCCCGGCAGCACCACCCCACGGCCCCUAACCACAGAGGAAGGAGGUCCGUGUCCAGUGGGCCAUUUCUGCCCAGAAGGGACAUCGCAUCCACAUGCAUGUCCUGAAGGCACCUACAGCAACAUCUCUAAAUUAAUCUCCCAGGUACACACACACACACACACACACACACACACAAACACCCACACACACACACACACAAACACACACAUACGCACACACACCCAGCAACAUCAAUAUAUUAACCACACAGACACACAGACACACAGACACACAGACACACAGACACACAGACACACAGACACACAGACACACCCAGACACACCCAGACACACCCAGACACUAACAGCUAUCAACAAAUUGACCUCAUAAGUGCUCAGUACCAUCACAUAAUAAACCUCACAGGCAAUCGGCA